AUACGGAGGGGGCUAGCGUUGUUCGGAAUUACUGGGCGUAAAGCGUACGUAGGCGGACUGAUCAGUUGGGGGUGAAAUCCCAGGGCUUAACCCUGGAACUGCCUUCAAUACUGUCAGUCUUGAGAUUGGAAGAGGUGAGUGGAAUUCCUAGUGUAGAGGUGAAAUUCAUAGAUAUUAGGAGGAACACCAGUGGCGAAGGCGGCUCACUGGUCAAAUACUGACGCUGAGGUACGAAAGCGUGGGGAGCAAACAGGAUUAGAUACCCUAGUAGUCC
rnacentral:rRNA from 1 species